rnacentral:rRNA from 1 species
AGCGUGAUCAGCCACAUUGGGACUGAGACACGGCCCAGACUCCUACGGGAGGCAGCAGUGGGGAAUAUUGCGCAAUGGACGAAAGUCUGACGCAGCGACGCCGCGUGGGGGAGGAAGGCCUUAGGGUCGUAAACCCCUGUCAGAUGGGACGAACCGUAGAUCGGCUAAUAUCUGGUCUGCCUGACGGUACCAUCAGAGGAAGCUCCGGCUAACUCCGUGCCAGCAGCCGCGGUAAUACGGAGGGAGCAAGCGUUGUUCGGAAUUACUGGGCGUAAAGGGCGCGUAGGCGGCCUAGUAAGUCGAGUGUGAAAUGCCGGGGCUCAACUCCGUGCACUGCAUUCGAUACUGCCUGGCUAGAGAAAGGUAGAGGCGAGCGGAAUUCCCGGUGUAGCGGUGGAAUGCGUAGAUAUCGGGAAGAACACCUGUGGCGAAGGCGGCUCGCUGGGCCUUUUCUGACGCUGAAGCGCGAAAGCGUGGGGA